GGACCCGCACAAGUAGUGGAGCAUGUGGUUUAAUUCGAAGCAACGCGAAGAACCUUACCAGGUCUUGACAUCCCGCUGACCGCCUUGGAGACAAGGCUUUCCCUUCGGGGACAGCGGUGACAGGUGGUGCAUGGUUGUCGUCAGCUCGUGUCGUGAGAUGUUGGGUUAAGUCCCGCAACGAGCGCAACCCUUGAUCUUAGUUGCCAGCAUUCAGUUGGGCACUCUAAGGUGACUGCCGGUGACAAACCGGAGGAAGGUGGGGAUGACGUCAAAUCAUCAUGCCCCUUAUGACCUGGGCUACACACGUGCUACAAUGGACGGUACAAAGGGCUGCAAACCCGCGAGGGGAGCCAAUCCCAGAAAACCGUUCUCAGUUCGGAUUGCAGGCUGCAACUCGCCUGCAUGAAGCCGGAAUCGCUAGUAA
rnacentral:rRNA from 1 species